UCUCCUGAACUUCAUUUCUCCUUCUCUCUAAAACUCUCAUGCCCUAAACUCUCUCUGCCUUCUCUCUAGAUGUCCAGCUCAAAGAACCGUAGGAAUUUGAUUUUUGUGUUGCCCAAGCAUCCGCAACGUAGAGAGCUCCAUUUCCACCGAUUGUUUUCUUCAUUCCGAUUGGUCCUGUUGAACUUGUUUCUGUGCGAGAGUUACUGUUUUGGGGCUUCUUCUAAAGUGUUGUGCUUAUAACCACCAAGGUAUGUUUGAUGGACGUAAUUCCAUGGACCUCACAGGGGGGUUACAUGGUGGUGCCCUAUGUUAUGGACGUAAUUCCAUGGACCUCAAAGGGAUGUUACAUGGUGGUGCCCUAUGUCAUUGAACGUAAUUCCAUGAUCCUCAAGGAGAGGAUACAUGGUGGUGCUCUGGUGGUGUGUAGAAUGAUUGCAUGGUAGCUCAUUCUUGGGGGUUUUCCUGACGCUCCAAUGGCCUUUCAUUCUCAAGUAGAGAGGAUUUAUCCAUGUGGUGAGGAGUAGCAGGAGGUCCUAGUCUUGGAGGCUUCCAGUAUGUUCCAGGGCGCGGAACGGACUAACCUCGUGAGUGUGGUAGGGUGGAACCCAUUGACAACGGCUUUGCAAAGCAGUAGAGGCCACCACGAGUGCAUAACCCGCCAUAGCUCGGUAAUCAUUCUAGUCCGGACGAGUCGGUUUAUAAAGUAACAAGUCUUGUGAUGUCAUUUUAUCAUGUUUCGAGUGACUUUUGCAUGUCGUGUGAGGUUGAAUAACAUGCUUUUUAUAUCUAGCUCACCCUUGCUUGUUUGUGUUGCUUGUGUAUGUUUCUUUUGUGAUGAUCAUCCACUUGGGUGGGAACAGAUGGCGAGGAGGUUCUUUUGGAGACGGCCUUGGAAGUUGAGGACAAUGCUGCUGCCUAGUCUCCUUAGGAUGUUAUCGAUUAUUGUCUGUAUUUUGAAAUACUGUUUCCCUUUAAGUUUACAAUUUAGAUCUUUUUGGAGUUGAAGUUCAAUUUCUGAAGUCAUUUUGAGGAUGACUGUAAUCCUUAAUUACUCUUGACUGCUUUCCUAUAUUAUGCAUGAUA